UUUUUGCAUUUAUGUUUUCUCAGACACAGGUAAUCAGAUUAAAAUCUCUGGCGGGCGCUCGCCAGCCGAGGCCGGCGGCGGAUGCCGCGGCCCGCCAAAGCAACAGAGGUUCGUUCGCACGGGUUGGAGAAGCUCCCGGGGGAGUAACUCUUUAAUGAUCCUUCCGCAGGUUCACCUACGAAAA
rnacentral:misc_RNA from 1 species